CUCUCCUCAGUAAGCGCAGUUAGUUCAUUAUUAGGUUCAGCUGUGUGUAAAAAGCUCCUAACUUACGACUAGAGUUCUCUGGUGUUGCGCCGAAAACAGCCCCCUGCUAAUCUCUGCAGCGGCGCCGGGAGGUCAGUUUACUCCUCUGUAGCGUUAGCUUAAAGUUAGCAUUUUUCUCAUUACGACCCUUAAACGAUCUCGUUUCAGAGGAUCCAGUGAUAUUCAGGAGUAAAAUGUACACAGAGACAUCCCAAGUUGCAAAAGUUGUUUUCAGGGAGGUUACUCUUGCCUUAAUGCAACACAAUUCCUGUAAAAGUGCUGAGCUCUAGCUCUUUCGUCAUUCAGAGGACCCUUACCCUAUGAGGGACCUGUAACAUGUGCAAUACUGAAGAAGAAGAAAAAUAAGAAGAAGAAGAAUUACAGUUCAGGGCAGUAUUUAAUUCUACAUUGUCUGAGAUGGUUCUGUUAUAAAUGUUACAGAGCAGCAUCUCGUCCAGCUUUAAACUCACAACACUGUCAGAACUGAUCCACCCCUCAACCACUAGUUUAACAACUAGAUCUAGUUUAACAUUUACAGCAACCGCAUCUUGCCAACAUCUGGACCUUCAUUCCAAGUGGUAAGUGGGCCACUAGAAACGGCCAGAUGUGGGCCAGCUUUGGGCCAUGUCAACACUGCUUUCAGGGGUAGGUGUUUUUGUGCUAAACAUAGAAUUAUAACUACUUUCAGAUGUAUUUAAAAGAUAAAAAAGAGAGGAAAAUCACAACAAAACGAUAACAAGUGUCUCAAAACUGAAGUUCAAAAAAAUAUAGAAAAAAAUGGCAUUUACUGUAUUACAACUGUGUAGGAUCUGGUAGACCAGAAGUACCACAGUAAGAUAAACAUCACUCAAAGCUUUCACCUCUUAGAGAGAUGCAAAUUUAAACUCUCCUCUCUCUCUCUCUCUCUCUCUCUCUCUCUCUCUCUCUCUCUCUCUCUCUCUCUCUUUUCAGAUCACACCAUUUGCCUGAAUCAAAAUGUGAGUUCUUGGAAAGUAUCAGAGGCCAGUAUACUAACUAUUGAAGAAAUUAAAGACGCAUCAGACUUCAUCUACAACUAUCAGUGAAGCAUGGUGGAGGAUCAUUGCUAUUUCAUCACCUCCACGCUGCUGCUGGACUCCAUGGACCCACUACAGUUUGCACACCACCACAACUGCUCUACUGGUGGUGCCAUCACACAUCUGCUUCACACAUCACUGUGUGACCUGGACACUGGAGGGGAACGGCACCUGCUGAAGCCUGCACCAGACUUGAAAAUCUGGCAAAACCAAGCGCACCAUCUGGCAACUGAAUACUCCGUCUUACACAGUGAGGACUGGAAUCACACUCAUGGUGGCUUCCAGUCUGCUCGUGUUUGACUGUACACACUGUGCACUGAGAGAACAGAGAACAAAGAACAGCAGUGCUAUUCUCCUCUAAUCACAGGCAUCAGAUCAGGUAGGCCUCCUUAAUCAUCAUCUUCACUGUCUAAAUGAACAGUCAUGCUCAUACCUAUUUUAAAGGGGAGGUUUGUUAGAUGUUUUGUUAUUCUGUGCUAUUCAAUGUUAGGAGUGUAAACACACUCAGAAAGUGACUAUACUGAAGUUGUCCAUAUAAUGAAUCAUGUAGUAACUUAAAAGAGUUAAACAAACCAAAAUACUCUGUGAAUCAUUUAGGUGCUCCUAUCUGAAAUUAUCCUGUGCAACAAAGAAAACUGUUGGUCCUCCUUUCCUGGGGUGAUCCGGAUGAGUACCAGUUUCAUGAUAAUGUUUUUGAUGGUCUUUGAGACUUACCUAACUUUUAUUUCUUAAAGUAAUUUGUUGCUUUACUUAGUUACUUCACAACAGAACAGAUGCUCUCAAACACAUUAGGAGCCAAGAAAUUCAAGCAACUCUUGAUAAGUUCAGCACAGCUCUUAACUGAAAGCCGUUCCAGGUGACGUUACCUCAUAAAGCUGACUCAGAAAAUCCAGCCAAGAUGUGCAAAACUGUUGUCUAAGAAAGAGGUGCUACUUUGCAGGACCUAGAACUUUAGUACUAAACUACAAUAAAGAAAUUAAUAGAAACAACAGUGCCACUUUAAAAUAUGGCUCCAUUAUACAGGGGUUAUAAAUAGUUUAUGGAGAAGUUUAUUUAAAAAAAAAACAUUAAUAAUCACUUAUUAAACACAUAAAUAGAAAGAACAACAGUGACAAUGACUUUUUAACAUGUCUAAUAAACCAAUAUGGAAAGUCAGUUUAGUCAUUUAUUAUGUUAUUAUAGUUAAAUGAAUAAAGUUAUUAACAGAAAUGGUAAUGAUGACCGAUGGAAAAGACAAAAUAAGAUAAGCAUCUAGUAAGAUCUGAGGUUUAACAGAAGAAAUGAAUGUGGCAUCACUAUUUUGUACACGACAGGCCACUGUUGCCCUUCCUAUUUAUGUUUUAUUACUUCUUAUUAAUGGUUUGUAACCUAAUUAAUAAUAAAAUAAAUAUUAAUUAACUCCUUUAUAAGCUUUUUAUAAACCCUUUAUAAAGUAGCCUUAUUUUAAAGUGGUACAGAAAAAAACAUUUAAUUUAAGGUGUGUCCAACAUUUUGAAAGGUACUGUAAUUUUGAUAAGAGUAAAGAAAAAACUUAUCUAUAAAAAUAUAUAUGUUUUCUGCCAAAGUCAUAAUACAACACUCUCCUAGUGUCACAUCCUUAGGUUCUCCUCCUGCCACUUUUAACUCACUGCACUACAUUUCCCAGAAUCCUUGUACACUAUCCACAACCUGCCAAUCAGGCACAGUUCCCAUACUCAUCAUCCCCAGAGUGCUGAUCAUUGUCACCUGUGUGUCCUUUCCUUACCUGCUGUGGAUAUCUGCCUGUUUGCCUGUAACACUCUCUCAAGCCCACCUUGCUACCCUCAUACAAAUGAUUGUCUAAUAAGAACUGAGUGAGACUCUUAAUGCUACACAUCCAUCUACCUGUGUAAUAUCAUUCAACUAUAACUAUACUUUGCUAAGGAUAAUGGUAAAUAUAUUCAGUCAGUGAUAUUAUUGUUAUUGUAUGUAUGUUAAUAACAAUUACAUUUUUAGACUGUGAUGAAACUUUUACAGGCAUUAAACUCUUCAAAUGUCACGGGUUCACUCAGUUCACUCUGCACCACUUAAAAAUCUGACUCUGCAGCUUUCUCCAGAAGUGCCCAUUUCUCAUCAGACAGCUCUGUAGGGUGUUUUUAUAUCUUAAAGAUUCAGGAUAUCAAGUGGAUCUGCUGAAUCAGAUUUCCAGUUCAUGUUCAGGGACUUUGUGUGUCAAAUGCUUUUGUCCUCCAUAUGAAAGAUUAAGUGUCAUACUUAAGCUAAGAGUGUCUUUUUUAUCUUUGAUGGGGUUAUAUAAACAGCAUAAUCUGCUGUGAUUUGGGAGGAAAGUGAACAAAUCACUCUAAACGUCUAACGGCCCGUAUCCGACAUCUUUCUUGUCCAUUUACAACAUUUGUGUGGUUUGCGUGGAACUGUAUACGUUCCAAAACAGUCAUAAUUCAUUUUUACAUGAUCAUUUUCCAACCACUCGACUAUCCCUUAGAAUCAGACAGACAGUUUCUGUUACUGUGUGACUGAUAGAAGAUAAAUGAGCUCUGUUCCCAUCGUCUGUCCUGUAUUGUGUUUCAUUCAAAAACAACAAUCAGGGCUGAAGUACUCAUGAUAAUUGUGUAUUAGGCAUGCAUGAGUGUGGAUAUUGGUAUCAUAUGAAGGUUACUGCUGUUGGGUUUACAUGUGGAGAAGUGUAAGGACUGUUAAGCGGGCUCUGCCAACAAGAGAAAAAUCAACACGUCUCAGGUAAAUGCAAAAUCCCCAGUGUUUUUUUUUUUUUCCAAAUUACAGCAUGCAGAAAAAUAUAAAGAAAAACUGUAUGGGCGUGGUCAAGCAGGCUAAAGUGCUGCCACUAUGAGCGGGAGUUCGCAGGCUCGAACCCCCGCUUAUGCAGCUUUGCCAUCAAGCUGCUGGUGCUCAGAGGGUGCACAAUUGGCCCUGCUCCCUCUGGGUGGGUAGAUGGUUCUCUCUACCCACAUCAUUAAAGGGUGAUGUCUGCAGCACCGGGCGUCUGUGAGCUGAUGUAUCAGAACCGAGUUGCUGCACUGUCCUCUGAGCAUUCUGUGAUGCUACUAGGUAAUGCUGCAUCAGCAGCAGUUCGAAAAGAAGCGGUGGCUGACUUCUAGAGCUUAGAUUCUCUGCCCGAACCCGACCUGACCCGAAAACAAGAUUUCUCACCACAUUCCUCGGGCCGGGGGUCAGGCUCCAGAAAAUAGUCCGAGAUGUAAGCAUCUGUUUUUAAUUUUAUUUUUAUUUUAUAUAAAGCUCUGGAGUAAUAAUCACAAUGUUGCUAAGUACCCAAUUAUUAUUGUUAACUAAAAUGAACGAAAUAAUGAAAUCUGAAAGUGAAAAAACAUUUGUAUUAAUUUUCGGGUCUGAUUUUUUGGGCCCGAUCUAAGCUCUACUGACUUCACAUGUAUUGGAGGAGGCAUGUGUUAGUCUUCACAUUCCUGGUGUGUUGGGCCACUACUAGUGAUAGGGGGAGUCCUAAUGAGUGGAUUGAGCAAUUGACUGUGCGCUAAAUUGGGGAGAAAAA